GCUGGAGGUAUCAGAAGUGCGAAUGCUGACAUAAGUAACGAUAAAGCGGGUGAAAAGCCCGCUCGCCGGAAGACCAAGGGUUCCUGUCCAACGUUAAUCGGGGCAGGGUGAGUCGACCCCUAAGGCGAGGCCGAAAGGCGUAGUCGAUGGGAAACGGGUUAAUAUUCCCGUACUUGGUGUUACUGCGAAGGGGGGACGGAGAAGGCUAUGUUGGCCGGGCGACGGUUGUCCCGGUUUAAGCGUGUAGGUGUGUGUUCCAGGUAAAUCCGGUUCACUUUAACACUGAGGCGUGACGACGAGGCACUACGGUGCUGAAGCAACAAAUGCCCUGCUUCCAGGAAAAGCCUCUAAGCAUCAGGUAACACGAAAUCGUACCCCAAACCGACACAGGUGGUCAGGUAGAGAAUACCAAGGCGCUUGAGAGAACUCGGGUGAAGGAACUAGGCAAAAUGGUGCCGUAACUUCGGGAGAAGGCACGCUGACACGUAGGUGAAGUGAUUUACUCAUGGAGCUGAAGUCAGUCGAAGAUACCAGCUGGCUGCAACUGUUUAUUAAAAACACAGCACUGUGCAAACACGAAAGUGGACGUAUACGGUGUGACGCCUGCCCGGUGCCGGAAGGUUAAUUGAUGGGGUCAGCGUAAGCGAAGCUCCUGAUCGAAGCCCCGGUAAACGGCGGCCGUAACUAUAACGGUCCUAAGGUAGCGAAAUUCCUUGUCGGGUAAGUUCCGACCUGCACGAAUGGCGUAAUGAUGGCCAGGCUGUCUCCACCCGAGACUCAGUGAAAUUGAACUCGCUGUGAAGAUGCAGUGUACCCGCGGCAAGACGGAAAGACCCCGUGAACCUUUACUAUAGCUUGACACUGAACAUUGAGCCUUGAUGUGUAGGAUAGGUGGGAGGCUUUGAAGUGUGGACGCCAGUCUGCAUGGAGCCGACCUUGAAAUACCACCCUUUAAUGUUUGAUGUUCUAACGUGGACCCGUAAUCCGGGUUGCGGACAGUGUCUGGUGGGUAGUUUGACUGGGGCGGUCUCCUCCUAAAGAGUAACGGAGGAGCACGAAGGUUGGCUAAUCCUGGUCGGACAUCAGGAGGUUAGUGCAAUGGCAUAAGCCAGCUUGACUGCGAGCGUGACGGCGCGAGCAGGUGCGAAAGCAGGUCAUAGUGAUCCGGUGGUUCUGAAUGGAAGGGCCAUCGCUCAACGGAUAAAAGGUACUCCGGGGAUAACAGGCUGAUACCGCCCAAGAGUUCAUAUCGACGGCGGUGUUUGGCACCUCGAUGUCGGCUCAUCACAUCCUGGGGCUGAAGUAGGUCCCAAGGGUAUGGCUGUUCGCCAUUUAAAGUGGUACGCGAGCUGGGUUUAGAACGUCGUGAGACAGUUCGGUCCCUAUCUGCCGUGGGCGCUGGAGAACUGAGGGGGGCUGCUCCUAGUACGAGAGGACCGGAGUGGACGCAUCACUGGUGUUCGGGUUGUCAUGCCAAUGGCACUGCCCGGUAGCUAAAUGCGGAAGAGAUAAGUGCUGAAAGCAUCUAAGCACGAAACUUGCCCCGAGAUGAGUUCUCCCUGAGACUUAGAGUCUCCUGAAGGAACGUUGAAGACGACGACGUUGAUAGGCCGGGUGUGUAAGCGCAGCGAUGCGUUGAGCUAACCGGUACUAAUGAACCGUGAGGCUUAACCU
rnacentral:rRNA from 1 species